rnacentral:rRNA from 1 species
GACAGAGGGUGCAAACGUUGUUCGGAAUUACUGGGCGUAAAGCGAGUGUAGGCGGUCUGAAAAGUCGGGUGUGAAAGCCCCGGGCUCAACCCAGGAAGUGCACUCGAAACUGCCAGGCUAGAGUAUCGGAGAGGUUGGUGGAAUUCUCGGUGUAGAGGUGAAAUUCGUAGAUAUCGAGAGGAACACCGGUGGCGAAGGCGGCCUUCUGGACAGCCACUGACGCUGAGACGCGAAAGCGUGGGGAGCAAACAGG